UCCUUGGUAGUCUAGUGGUUAGGAUUCUGCACUUCCACUGCUGGGGCCAGGGUUUAAGCCCUGGUAGGGGG
rnacentral:tRNA from 1 species